CAACUUCCGCCACACAGCAAAUUUCACUUGUCAACAUCGGUUGUUGAUGUAAGCACACUAAAUUCACUGGUUAUUCGUCUGAAAAUUGAAGUUAUAUCUGUCAUUGUACCAACAGAGGAAGAAACCAGCUGUUAAACGAACACUUGCUUAACAGAGAUAACAGCUUGGGCAAUGCCGUCCUUGGAAUGGUGAAAUUGUGGCAGUAACUUUUCCCCCGGACCGGACACACGGUGGCAUUUUCGUUGGCAGAUUUCCUGGCCCGGGAAAGUGACCGGAUACAGGCAGCAGGAAUAGCACACUGGAGCUAGCUCACGUGUGGGCACGUCGGCUCUGUUGAAUUGUUUUUCUUCUUGUUAGAAACAACGGAGAGUUCAUAUCAAAGUAACCUUUGAUCGUCAUGGUUCAUAUAUUGUACCUUCUCUGUUGACCACAACCAAUAACAAACAAACAGACCUUGAAGUCCACUUUAUAAACAAGCACCAGCCUCAAGACAUUUCCUCCCUCACUACAUUCUCUCUUCACUAACGGAGGAGAGGACCUCCCAGCAAGUUCAUGCAGUGACUGUCUUUGACUUCGCCAAAUGGCAAAAUUCUCUAUGAUUCCACACCGAGCCAUGUUACAAAAUAGACUUUCAGUGGUGUUGGUGGUCGUCGUGGUAGUGGCUGUACUAUUUCUAGAGAGACAGAUCCACCAGUUAAACUACUCGUUACGUAGAAUUGCUGACGGUUUUAUCACCCGUGUGUGUGUUAAUUUUAAGCUCGGUGGCCUACGACAAACAUGAGCUGUAUGGUGCGCUAUGAAGUGUUGGCGAUGCUGGAAGCAAUAUCAUGACAUUGCCUUCACACCCCGCGAAUUGGUCUCUCCGAGAAGAGAAUUGGCGGGAUCAAAGAUAAUUGUCUCUCGGUGUUGGAUGACCUAUCUAAACAUUAAUGAUGUUAACUCUUUUGAAACUUGUCCCCUCCCUAAAUAUUAUCCGAGUUUGGCAAAACACACUCGAGAAAAGUCACUUUUUUAGUUUGUUGGUCAACAUGUAGUGAAAUGAGCACACGCUUCUUGUUAGGUUGACAUACGUUGGUGCAUCUGCAUACAUUGACUUGGGUUCAGUUACACAGUUAAGUCCACAGUUGAAUUGCACAGGGCCAAUUUCAUGGCGCUGCUUAACCACAUAUUUCUGAGCUUAAAGCGUGUGAUUCUAAUUACAAAACCUGUGAUAUCAAAAGAGCCUUCCUUCAGGCAAAAUUUUGUUCACGGGUCAAGGGAAAAAACCCGUUAAAUCUCCUAUUUCAUGGAGAUCACAUCACGUUGAUCACAUCAACUUUUCAAUAUGAAGAAAGUAUGCACAUCACAAAACUGUUACCAAGUUUGUGUAUUUAACUCUAAGUACACUCAGGUGGAAAUAAACGCAGAAAAUGUCAAACUUCUCCUUAAUAUGACCAGCGUAGUAUCUUGCCUGCCAGGAAAUGCCAUGGCAUGUACAAGAGUGCCCUUUUGUAAACAAGGGUCACAUGGCAUUGCAUAUAAGGCUGAACAUGUGCAGAAUUAUUCAGAAAACAGAGUUAGAAAUUGUGCACAGUACAGAUUCCACACAGUGUCUUCAAUGCACUUUAAAUUGAACCAAGACCCAUCACAUCCAUAUUUAAGAGUAUAAUACAGAAAUAACACAAGGCUGGUUGAAGGCACUGUAAUGGCUCGGCAAUUUCUCAGCAUACAGAGUAGACAAUCUGUCAGAAUACAGAACACAUUCACCUGGUUUUACUGAGAUUUGACAAUGUACUGGAAGGUGGUUGUGAAUACAGUGCCUUCAUAACAGAAUCAGGAAGCCUGUCACCCUGACAUCCAUUAGUUCUGUAUGUCUUCAUUUGUCAUUUUUUUGAGUGUACAGAAGAACUGCGGUUAGGUUUGGACUACUUCCUGAUUCUAAUUCUAGUGAAAGUCUUGCCCCUGUGAACUUCUUUCCUGGAUAUAUGUAAACAUUGGACUUUUGUUUUGAUGGAUAUAGAUCCACCAACAUUCUCAAAUUAGUUAUAGCUAAGUUGAAACUAGCAAUUCAGUUCUGUUACAGUGAUUAUAUGGUACAUUUUAUACAACAGGUACUCACUCUUAAAAUUGUUUUAGCAGCUUUCGUAAAUACAUGUAAAGCAAGGGAAUAAAGGCUCUGUAUAUUUGUGUAAGAUUUCACAGACUGAGCAGUGUUAACUGGUCUUUCCUUUCUGAAUUUAAAGUGCAUGUCAUAAAAGUACAAACAGGAUAACAUGCAGAUCAGUGGUUCUAAAGAUUGUGUUGAAUUUCUCUUAAAUUCUAGAAGCACAUGUACAUGUAGCUAGCAAAAGGCAAGCAAGCUUACCAUGUUUGCUUGUAAAAUUAAGUUCAA